GGGGGCGACCGGCUUCGACGCAGGUCGCGAAGCCUUCGGUGCAUGCAGAGCUGCGGUUCGCUCUUAAAACUGGUCGCAGAUUCAUAAUUGCCAACGACAGCAAUUACGCCCUCGCUGCUUAAGCAGUGAGCCCUCUGCCCGGAUUUGUCUGUGGAUCCGGAGCCGAAAGGCGCGCGGAGGGUCAUAAAACACGGAAUCGUGCAUAUU
rnacentral:tmRNA from 1 species